AUGUUCUUCCACUGGCGACGUGCAGCGGAGGAGGGCAAGGACUACCCCUUUGCCAGGUUUAAUAAGGUAAGCUACCUUCAUUCGGACACAGGCCAAGAUUGCCCUCCCACUUUGAGCCGUUUGUGCGAGCUCUCCACUCUCCUAGGGUUGGUUCUGGGGGCACGCUCAUGCCCAACUGUGAUUACCCACUCAAUCCUCGUGGCAAAUGCAUGCAGAGUAGGACUCUGUGGGUCUUUUCUGCCCAAGAGAUCCUGUUCUUUCCCGGACCUGCUCUGGUUUUUCAUGGCUUUUCUUGGUCUUUCAAAUGUUGCUGUUCCUCAGAGCUGUAUCCUAGGUGCUCUAGUCUUCUUGUUCUCUACUUUCUUAGUAUGAACCCUGUGGCUUCAGUUACCCUCUCUACAAGUCACCAGUCCACAGCAGUGGUUCCUUCGCAUCCAGUCAUUUACUAAUAUCUCUUUCUGAAUGCCCCACAGGUACCUUACAUCAGGUAGGUACCCUGAACAGAACUCAUCAUCUUCCCUCUGUCAGUCCCAAAUCUGUUCCCCAUCUCAGUGAAUGGCACCGUCUUCCACCCAGUUGCCCACACCAGAAACUUGGGGGAUCGUCCUUGACUUAGUCUUCUCCCUUAGUCCUCACAGUAUUUAAAUCAACAACAGAACAAAGAAGGUAGGGGAAAACAAACAACAAACAUGUAAGGAAAUAAAUUGGAGUCUUUCAAAUAAGAGCCAUCAAUAACACGAAACCAGGAUUUGAAUGGAUAUGAAAUGAGAUAAAGAGUGAACUUGUAGGUGUAGGGGAGUCCUACCUUAGGUUGGUCAGCGAGGGCCUCUCUGAGAACGUGGCAUUUGAGCUAGAUGCCAGUGAUACAUCUAUUUAUUGAGUCCUGUUGAUUCUUUUUCCAUAAUAAAUCACAUUUCUGACUAUAUUCUUCAUCCCCUAUGCCAGCCCCCUAGUCCAAGCUGAGUUAUCUCUUCUGUAGCUCAGCAGAGCAUGGCCUUCCCAGACUCACCCUGUCAGUGAGAGGCAGAGCUAGAUUGGGCUAGGUUUCCUAGUCCAUUACUUAAGUCAUUGUACAGUGUGGCCUCACAGCUGCUGCAGCCUGGAAUAGCCUAGACUUAGAGCCUAAAAGCCUCAUUUACCUCUUCUCUAACCAAUCUUUGUCCCCGGGCUGGAGUGUCACUUGUUAUACCCUAUGUAUCAAACUUCCCACACGGUACCAAAAUUAUUUUUUCAGCUGCAGUAUGAGCUUUGAGAGGCUAAGAUCGCUGCCUGUCAUAUGCAGCACUGUGUCUCCAGCAUAGGUAUUGCAGCCACAUGGUAAAUAUUUGUUGAAUGAAUGAAAAAAUGUCUUCCUCACUUGACUAUGAGCUACUUGAGAGGACUGGCUGCACAGUUCCUGAGGGUUUUUUUUUUUUUUUUCCUUCUUUGAGACAGGGUAUCUUUCUGUCUGCCAGGCUGAAGUGCAGUGGUGUGAUCUCAGCUCAUUGCAUCCUCCACCUCCAGGGCUCAAGUGAUCCUCCCACCUCAGCCUCCCGAGUAGCUGGGACCACCAGCAUGUACCAACAUGCCUGGCUAAUUUUUGUGUUUUUUUUAAGAGACUGAGUUUCACCAUGUUUCCCAGGCUGGUCUCAAACUCUUGGGCUCAAGCGAUCUGCCCACCUCAGCCUCCCAAAGUAUUGAGAUUACAGGCGUGAGCCACCGCACAUGGCCCUGAGUUGUUGGUUUGUUUGUUUUUUAGUUAAACUGAAUUAAAAUGCAUAGGAGAAAUAGGUAACCAAACCUGGGAAACCAGAGAGACUUCCCAGAGGAGAUGAUGCCUGAGAGCUUGAAAGGUUGAGAAAGUUAUCUAGGUAGAAGGAAUGUGGAAGUGGAAGGCAUUUCAGGCAAGAGCAGAGGUCAAGGGGGAAGUCUGCUAUGUUCUAGAAACUGCUAGUCAUUUGGCCGCAGUUUAGGGUUCAUGAGGGACAGUGGCUGCAGGAGGAGGCCAGGUCAUUUAUAUGCAUGUUCAUUAAUUGAUUUGGUAGACACUGAUACAUACAGUGUGCUGAGUCCUAAAGGUGCAAGAUGAACUGGACAACCCUUGCUCUUCCGGAGUUUGUGAAUUAUCUAGAAGAUGCUUUAUCUUAGAUGGAGAGCCUCUGAGGAGUUUAAUAAGGGAUAGUUGGGGGUAAUGAUAAGAUAUAUAUUCUAGAACACUAGGACAGUGUGUCUCAAAUCAUCUGUGGUGAAGGACAUUUUUCUAUUUCCAAACCAUCAGAGACUGAUAAAGAUAAUAAAAUUAUAAAGACAAAAUACAAGUCCGUUUCUUCAUAUUAGAUUCAACAGCAUACAAUUGCUGUAAAAUUGUUAUGUAAGUUUUUCAGUGUCUACUCUCAGUUUCCAUUCUCAUCAUCAUAGACCAGGGGUAAGUGUAAACAGCACUGGUUUGCAGACUGUUCUUUAAGUAGCACUGUUCAAAGAGAUCACGUCUUAGCUGCAGAUGGAGAAUUGAUUGGAAGAGGAUUGAAUGUGGGCAGAGAUCAGUAGGGAGGCUAUUUCUCUGAUCCAGGCACGUGACAGUGGGUAGGCUGGACUGAGAAGUGGCAAUGGAGACAGAAAUUUUGGACAUAAAAGCCACAGAUUUGGUGAAGGGGAGGAGUCAAGGGGAAAGAUAGGAAUUGAGAUGCCUCCCAGGUUUCUGGCUUGAGCAGCUGGGUUGGGUGAUGGUGAUAAUUGACUGAAAUCUGGACUGGAGAAGAUAAUGUUUGAGACAGGGCAAUGAGUUCAGUACUGAGCUAAGUUUGAGGUGCAUGGGGGACCUCCAGUAGGAGAUGUCCAAAAGGCGACCAGUUUUGGAGCUGGUUAUGGUCUUUAACUGAGAAGAGAGACUUCCCUGAUCUAGUCUAGCAUUGACUCCUUCCUUGGGUCUCUGACAGACUCAGCCGGUGGUAGUGCUGUUUGUCUCUGGGGGAGGUCUGUAGGAUUGGGGGUGUGGAAGAAGGGAGGAAGGGACAUUGGCAGGGCUGCGUAUGUUGGGAGUAGGAUUCAGGCCCAGCUUCUGUAGAGAUGCCUGACCUUGGCAAACUCUGGGGAAGCGGCAAGUCCCACUGUGCCCAUUGGGUGGCAGUAGUGCUUCAGACGAGUUGUAUGGACUAGGGGCUGCUGGGCCUUUCUCUAGGUAAUUAGCCAUCUGUCCUACUCCAGAGUUGACCUUUGGACUCCACAGAAGCACUUACAUGUGGGCCCCUCACCUUAACUAUGGGGGCAGGAGUGUGUGUCCCAUGACUGAGGCUCUGGAGCUGGAGACAGUGAAGUUGAUCCUGGAGUAAAUCAGAGGCAGGCUACAGUCCCAAACCCUGCUAGGACCUCUAGUCAAGCAGACAAGUUCUUUCCUCACUCCAUGCUGCAGGGGCACAGGCCUAGGGGCUGGCAACAAACAGGAGGAGCUGUGGUCACUGGGGGCUGGAGCCUGCUGGACGUGACAUGAUGUGGGCAUGCCCCUACCGUGUCCCUCUGUGCUAGUAGACUGUGCAGGUGCCUGUGUACUCGGAGCAGGAGUACCAGCUUUAUCUCCACGAUGAUGCUUGGACUAAGGCAGAAACUGACCACCUCUUUGACCUCAGCCGCCGCUUUGACCUGCGUUUUGUUGUUAUCCAUGACCGGUAUGACCACCAGCAGUUCAAGAAGCGUUCUGUGGAAGACCUGAAGGAGCGGUACUACCACAUCUGUGCUAAGCUUGCCAACGUGCGGGCUGUGCCAGGCACAGACCUUAAGAUACCAGUAUUUGAUGCUGGGCACGAACGACGGCGGAAGGAACAGCUUGAGCGUCUCUACAACCGGACCCCGGAGCAGGUGGCAGAAGAGGAGUACCUGCUACAGGAGCUGCGCAAGAUUGAGGCCCGGAAGAAGGAGCGGGAGAAACGCAGCCAGGACCUGCAGAAGCUGAUCACAGCAGCAGACACCACUGCAGAGCAGCGGCGCACAGAACGCAAGGCCCCCAAGAAGAAGCUACCCCAGAAAAAGGAGGCUGAGAAGCCGGCUGUUCCUGAGACUGCAGGCAUCAAGUUUCCAGACUUCAAGUCUGCAGGUGUCACGCUGCGGAGCCAACGGAUGAAGCUGCCAAGCUCUGUGGGACAGAAGAAGAUCAAGGCCCUGGAACAGAUGCUGCUGGAGCUUGGUGUGGAGCUGAGCCCGACACCUACGGAGGAGCUGGUGCACAUGUUCAAUGAGCUGCGAAGUGACCUGGUGCUGCUCUACGAGCUCAAGCAGGCCUGUGCCAACUGCGAGUAUGAGCUGCAGAUGCUGCGGCACCGUCAUGAGGCACUGGCCCGGGCUGGUGUGCUGGGGGGCCCUGCCACACCAGCAUCAGGCCCAGGCCCGGCCUCUGCUGAGCCAGCAGUGACUGAACCCGGACUUGGCCCUGACCCCAAGGACACCAUCAUUGAUGUGGUGGGCGCACCCCUCACGCCCAAUUCGAGAAAGCGACGGGAGUCGGCCUCCAGCUCAUCUUCUGUGAAGAAAGCCAAGAAGCCGUGAGAGGCCCCACGGGGUGUGGGCGACGCUGUUAUGUAAAUAGAGCUGCUGAGUUGGACCAGGCUG
rnacentral:sRNA from 1 species